GCCUACGGGGGACAGCAGUAGGGAAUCUUCCACAAUGGGCGAAAGCCUGAUGGAGCAACGCCGCGUGGGUGAAGAAGGUCUUCGGAUCGUAAAACCCUGUUGUUAGAGAAGAAAGUGCGUGAGAGUAACUGUUCACGUUUCGACGGUAUCUAACCGGAAAGCCACGGCUAACUACGUGCCAGCAGCCGCGGUAAUACGUAGGUGGCAAGCGUUAUCCGGAUUUAUUGGGCGUAAAGGGAACGCAGGCGGUCUUUUAAGUCUGAUGUGAAAGCCUUCGGCUUAACCGGAGUAGUGCAUUGGAAAUU
rnacentral:rRNA from 1 species